rnacentral:lncRNA from 1 species
CUAGCUGACCAUGUUAAUGUGUGGCUAAUAAAAGGUGUGUUCAGGCAAUGGAAGCAGCCUGUUUGCUAUACCUUUAGCAACGGUCCUACGAAAGCCACUGUUUGUGAUCAAGNGGGUCCAAACCAAGCCGCUAUUAAUUUAUUGUUAGAGGAAACAAGAGNAGAAUGCCUAAGACAAAAUACAGAAAACAGAUAUUUUGGAUUUUGCAUUGAUGGUAAAGAAAUAGUACCUCUUUACGAUUCUCCCCACUUAUUGAAAGGAGUACGAAACAAUUUACUAACAAAGGAUUUACAUUUUGUUUUGAACAACAGAAACUGUAUCGCAAAAUGGGUCCAUAUAGAACAGUUCUACUUGUUGGAUAUUGAAGAGCAGGAUCGGAUAUGUACCAAAUUAACAGACCAACAUGUUCUAAGGGGAAAAAUUAAUAAAAUGAAAGUCAAAUGUU